UAGGACUCUCGGCAAUGGAUAUCUUGGCUCUUGCAUCGAUGAAGAGCGCAGUGGAAUGCGAUAAGUGGUGCGAAUUGCAGGAUCCCGUGAACCAUCGAGUUUUUGAACGCAAGUUGCGCCUGAGGGCGAUUGGCCGAGGGCACCUCCGCCUGGGCGAAAUGC
rnacentral:rRNA from 1 species